GGGGUUGCGAUGAUUAUAAAAAUUCCUCGUACAGAAGUCUAAAUUGCAUGAUAGACUCUUUAUCUACCCAUAGAAUAUGGUCUUUC